UCCUCCUCCAGUGGACCUUAUGGAGGCAGUGGAGGCCAGCAGUUCUCCCAGUCUGCUUAGGUGGAGGAGGGCCCCAUCACCACCAUUCGCAUCUGCGAGGAUGGCACCUGCAUAGAAGGGCGCGCUACCGCCAGAUGUGGAGCGACUAUGUGGGUGGUACCCAGGGAGACCUGGAGGAGACUUUCCUGCAGCCUGGGGAGUCAGUGAUCUGGGUUUAUGGCAAGUAUGACAGCUACCUGAGGCAGCUGGUCUUCAUGACUGACAAGGGCAGGAAGAUGUCUUUUGGGACAGACAGAGGCCUGAGUUUCAACACUGUCCCCUUGUACCCCAACACCGGGCUAUGAUUCUUCAGUGGUCACGCUAGCACCGUCAUUGAUGCCAUCCCCCUGCAGUAGGACGCCCACCCCAAUCACUGAACCAGUUGCUGAACCCAAGCUGUGCCUGGGCAGACCUCUGCAGCUGGGGUUCAGGACCACCUUACCACUAACCUCAUCCCCAAGGUUCAAUAAAAAGUAAAAUAAAAGAC